AUGCAAGUCGAGGGGCAGCGAGGGAGUGGCAACACUUCUGUCGGCGACCGGCGCACGGGUGAGUAACGCGUAUGCAACCUGCCCGUCACAGGGGGAUAACCGGUGGAAACGCCGACUAAUAUCCCAUGGUUUCCUUUGGGGGCAUCCCCGAGGGAUUAAAGGCUUCGGCCGGUGACGGAUGGGCUCGCGUGACAUUAGGCAGUAGGCGGGGUAACGGCCCACCUAACCUACGAUGUCUAGGGGUUCUGAGAGGAAGGUCCCCACACUGGAACUGAGACACGGUCCAGACUCC
rnacentral:rRNA from 1 species